GUGGGGAAUAUUGGACAAUGGGGGGAACCCUGAUCCAGCCAUGCCGCGUGUGUGAAGAAGGCCUUUUGGUUGUAAAGCACUUUAAGCGAGGAGGAGGCUACCGAGAUUAAUACUCUUGGAUAGUGGACGUUACUCGCAGAAUAAGCACCGGCUAACUCUGUGCCAGCAGCCGCGGUAAUACAGAGGGUGCAAGCGUUAAUCGGAUUUACUGGGCGUAAAGCGCGCGUAGGUGGCCAAUUAAGUCAAAUGUGAAAUCCCCGAGCUUAACUUGGGAAUUGCAUUCGAUACUGGGUGGCUAGAGUAUGGGAGAGGAUGGUAGAAUUCCAGGUGUAGCGGUGAAAUGCGUAGAGAUCUGGAGGAAUACCGAUGGCGAAGGCAGCCAUCUGGCCUAAUACUGACACUGAGGUGCGAAAGCAUGGGGAGCAAACAGGAUUAGAAACCCGGGUAGUCC
rnacentral:rRNA from 1 species